rnacentral:misc_RNA from 1 species
GAUGAAGAAACGUAGCGAAAUGCGAUAAGUAAUGUGAAUUGCAGAAUUCAGUGAAUCAUCGAAUCUUUGAACGCACAUUGCGCCCGCCAGUAUUCUGGCGGGCAUGCCUGUCUGAGCGUCAUUUCAACCCUCAUGCCCCUAGGGCGUGGUGUUGGGGAUCGGCCAAAGCCCGCGAGGGACGGCCGGCCCCUAAAUCUAGUGGCGGACCCGUCGUGGCCUCCUCUGCGAAGUAGUGAUAUUCCGCAUCGGAGAGCGACGAGCCCCUGCCGUUAAACCCCCAACUUUCCAAGGUUGACCUCAGAUCAGGUAGGAAUACCCGCUGAACUUAAGCAUAUCAAUAAGCGGAGGA